CAGCUAAUUCAUGCAUUUUAAUAACAUUUUGCCAGGGGACAAGCAGAGCGCAGGGCAAAACACCAGAAGGGGGAAGGCAGGAGAAGACCAUGACAUGAUUAAGGAUCAGGAGACCGGUUCUUCUUGGAAGUUCUCAUGAUGGUUUUGGCUGCCGAGUUCUCCAUCCGCGUGGGCCUUCGGUGGUUGAGUUGGCCUUCGAGGAGCCAAUGAAAUAGGCCACCUCAGAGUUGCAUGGAUGGUGUCACAAAGCAUCAAUUCCCAGGGUCUUGUUUUCUUGGUGGGCUUCCGUGUUGGGUUGAGGCUGGAAGCCGAGAGAUGGACCUUCUCCUUCUCCACGUUGCCUUCAACAGCUUCUAAACAGCAUUUUGGAUUUUGGUCCUUCUACUUGCGGUAGCGUUGCUGGCGAGGGGGCAGCACGGCUAACAUGGGCGGUAGCACGGCUGACAUGGGAUGUAGCAUGGCUGAGAUGGGGGGUAGCAUGGCUGACAUGAGAUGUAGCACGGCUGAGGUGGGGGGCAGCACUGCUGAGGUGGGGGGUAGCACUGCUGAGGUGGGGGGUAGCACUGCUGAGGUGGGGGGUAGCACUGCUGAGGUGGG